UGAAUGAUAUAGAAAAUGACAUGUCAUUAAUUUUAAAUUAAUUAAUUUGCCACAUGUGUUAGAUAGAAUUAUUUUUUAUAUCAUAAUAACGAGAGAAAAAAUACAUUGGUAAAAGUAAAACCCAUAAAUUUUGUAUGAAGAGGGUAAAAUAUCAAGAACUUUAAAACCAACAAAAAGGAUUCGAUAUGAUUGUUUUGUUAUAGAUAUAGUGGGGCAAGGCG
rnacentral:lncRNA from 1 species